rnacentral:tRNA from 1 species
AUUUAUAUAGUUUAAAUUUAAAACAACACAUUUUCAUUGUGUAAAUAAUAUAAGUAUUAAUAUUUAUAAAUG